rnacentral:rRNA from 1 species
CUACGGGACGCUGCAGUGAGGAAUUUUGCGCAAUGGGGGCAACCCUGACGCAGCAACGCCGCGUGAGUGAAGAAGGCCUUUGGGUCGUAAAGCUCUGUCAACAGGGAAGAAGUUACUUCAUAUUAAUAGUAUGUAGUAUUGACGGUACCUGUGGAGGAAGCAUCGGCUAACUCCGUGCCAGCAGCCGCGGUAAUACGGGGGAUGCAAGCGUUAUUCGGAAUCAUUGGGCGUAAAGGGCACGCAGGCGGCUCUGUCAGUCAGAUGUGAAAGCCCGGGGCUCAACCCCGGACGUGCAUUUGAAACAGCAGAGCUUGAGUACGGUAGAGGAAAGCGGAAUUCCUGGUGUAGAGGUGAAAUUCGUAGAUAUCAGGAGGAACACCGGUGGCGAAGGCGGCUUUCUGGACCGAAACUGACGCUGAGGUGCGAAGGCGUGGGUAGCGAACAGGAUUAGAUACCCCCGUAGUC